CGACCAUAGUGUUGUUUCAAUUGCUGUUCCAUAAAUGACAAAUUUUGUAUAUUAAAAACCAUUUAUCAUCUAAAAAAAUAGAUUAAUUAACAAAAAAGAAGGAAACAAGUCUAAUCUAUUCCACAAUUAUGCAUAAUAAUAAAAGUUUUCUUCAUUUGCAGAACUUAAAUAAAUAAUGUUAUUUAAAAAGAGGUUAGGUAAGAAAGGCACUUCCGACUUAGCCAACCAAAAGAGGAAUAAAAUAAAGCAUACUUUUGAUUAAUAAUCAUCCAAAGAAGCGUUUAUAGAUUAACAAACUAGUUUUGAUAAUAAUAAAAUAUUGUCCAUAAUUAGUUGGCUCUCCAACAGCCACUACACCCAAAAAGGGCAAAAAAAUUAUGUUGGUGGGGUUAGCACUUUCUGCCAAGUCAAUACGGAAAGCAAUAAAUGGAGAAAAAAAUUAAGCCUUUGAAAAGUCUCUACACAAAAUCUGACUUUUUAGCCUAAUUUAAUAAUAACAGAAAAAAUUUAGCUUCAAAAUUGGAAACAAAACAGAGAGAGCACCACACCCUUUAAUAAAAUUAUAAUAAUUUUAUUAAAAUAUACUAAAUAAUAUAUUCUACAUAUGAGAUGUUGAAGUACUAAUCCCCACAUACUAAGGCGUUUGAAAGAUAGCAUACAGUAUUACAUCACACUGCAAGUGAUGUGAGAUCUCUAAAUUAUAUUAAUUUUGUUCAAGACCAAAAAUGAAUAUUGUAAGUUAUUUUUCAUAAG
rnacentral:misc_RNA from 1 species